ensembl:snoRNA
CUUCCCAUUGAUUUGCUGCUCUAGUCUUUCAGUGAUCAGAGCAGUUAUACGCGUGGGAGAGAACAAUAGUAGGCCGUGCGCUACCACGAGAUGGAGUAACCAUUUCAUCUCUUCUGCACGGUCCAGACACUG